AUGGCAUUCUAUUCAGAUCAUCAUGCUUAUGUGAGCAACACUACAAACAACACGGAAAGUAUUCAAGAACUGAUAGGUAAGAUUUCCCAUCGAUUAGAUGAUUUAGCUCGGCAGCAAGAAGUAGUUUUUGAGGAUAGGCCUAGUUCUUACGAUCCUUAUUCCAGAGGCCAUCCUUAUGUUGCUCCUACUUGCCAUAUUUGUGGAUUUCAGGGCCAUUCGCCCGCUGAAUGUCAGCGUGGCUACUCUCACACUCCAGAUUGUUUUGGCAUGAGCUUCGCUCAAGAGCAUAGCUCAUACCAAAAGAAUUACUCAUAUGGGUGGCCUGAAAACCCGAAUAUGUCAUAUAGGACCAACAACCCUGAGAUCUCAUCGUUUGCUUCUAGUAAUCAUAUGCAGGGAUUUAGGUAUGAAGAUGAGAGCAACAACUAUGCACCACAACAAUUUUAUUCACAUUCUACUCAUGUACCUCAGCACCAGGAGAUGUGUCCAAUGGAGUUAAAUGGUCCUCUAUUUGGUCAACCGACAACUCCAGCACCUGAUGAGUCAUUAGUGCAAUCUCAUGUGCAAGUGCCCACACAAGAUGAGUUCGAUGACAUAGACAAGCUCACACUUUUGAGUCUCGAGGUCACUUGGAGUGUUGAGGAUGAUCCUAUUAGGAAGGUUAUACUAGAGGAAAUGAAGAAGACCAAGAGUGGAAAAGAGCUAGUGGAAGAAGUAAGGAAUAUUGAGACGAACAUCAACGCUGGCAGCACUACUUCUUCAUAG
rnacentral:rRNA from 1 species